rnacentral:lncRNA from 1 species
CCGUUAUUCGAUUGUUUUAAAAGAAUGUUGAGCCGGGCCCGGGUAUGUAAGUUCAGCGAUGUACAAACAAGGAUUGAUUUGACUUCCGCACCUAGGUUGGGGGGUAGGUGAGGGUGGGGGGUUCUAUUAUGGACGAAUAAGGAAGAGGAAUAGAAUCUCAUUCAUGUGUUCAUGCUAACAGAAGAGCGGAUCCAAUACACAUAAGGCAUCGGUUGUUCUUAACAGCGAUGGCUAUUCAUUUAAGUCUUCGGGUAGCACCACCAGAUCUUCAACAAGGUGGAAAUUCUCGUAUUUCGUAUGUACAUGUUCCUGCGGCUCGGAUGAGUAUAGUUAUUUAUAUCGCGACAGCUAUAAACAGUUCCUUGUUCCCAUUAACAAAACAUCCCCUUUUUCUUCUUGUUCUUUGUCAUAACGCCUAUUCCGGGACGAGUACUACUUUUUUUUACAAAAAUAAUUUACAAGCAGAUGAUUUUCCGACCCUGACUACCAAUUCCCCGACUACCUCUCUGGCUUAUCAAUCUAGCAAGCAUAGGAAAUCCAAUUUCGGUAAUCUUACCAAACAAGCAACGGAUUGAGCAACUAGCGCGAAAGCCGUUGCGCUAACGCGCAUUCUCCACCACUUUGAUGGAUUCAAAAAGAAAAAGAAGGUUGAUUGGAACUGAAAAGAACAAACAGGCAGGCAUGCUUUCAAUCUUUUAGAAUUUGAGAAAUGCACUUGUCAAGAGUACUCUAACAAUCGACGUCUCCCAUCUUCUCAGGAUUAAGCACUUUAGCUAUCUAUUAUGGAAAUUGUCCGCUAUCUGCACCUUACUCUUACUUUACUAUUACGGAUUUGGAAGUGGGAAAGCCAACCUGGGCUUUUGAAGAUCACUCUUGCCCGUUCCGUUCAUAAUUGCUUAGCUUAAAAGGAGAAGUCCAAAUAGUGGCUGCGGAAAAGUCAAUUCUAUCAUUUUUCGAAAGUUCGAGAAAGGUCAUGCACGAAAAGAAAGAAUCAAGGAAAGAACUGACUUUGAUACGAAAGAAAGACUGAAUCUGACUAUCCCAAUUCAGAAAGACGGAAAUUGCCGGUUGGGUUAGUCCAACCAAGAAAGAAAUGGGAUUCUGUGGGCAUUGCUUGGGCCGACUUCAUCAGUAUGGCUAUCUCUAAAGAUCUAUCACUGCACACUUGAGAGAUCUCUGUCUCCAGCCAAUCAAAGCGUCUAUAGCAGCUCCGCCGCUUUCUUUUUCUUGGAAAAUAUGUAGAUUUCAAAACUUACCGAUAGGAUUUGGUUUGGAGUUAUAAGAAAAUUGUGUACGAAGCUGUGCACACAAAAGCAGAUAUCGAUAAUAUCAUAACGUUAAUAAUGGAAACUAUUGUUUAUCUCCCAUGCAUGCUUCGAUCAUUCAAUCCAUUUACGCUGGCAAAUCAAUCACGAGUAGGACCGACGAAGUAAGUAAGCCCUUCCUCUGAAAAGGAUGGAGUCAAUAGCGAUCCUGAAGCUGAAACAAGAAAGUAUUUUUAUCCAAAGAGAAAAAGAAAAUGCUUUCCUGGAGAGCUCAUGAUUGGUCCUGUCCUGAUCUCCUGAGAGUAUCCCUUUUUGUAUUUUUUACAUCUUUUGACUCUGCCUUCUAUGGCUUUCUUGCCAGGAGGGAGGUAAGGGAAGAAGUAACCAUGUAUGCGUGUGCUACCCACGCUUGGCAGUUAACCAGGUUUGAUUUGAAUAAAGAAGUUAGACUGCAAAAGGACUACCUACGAUGCUUUUCACUGAUAGAUCAAAUCUUGUGACAAGGCCAGAGCCCCUCUCCUCUUGUGAUUCCGAUUGCGACUCGGACUGUGACGGGCCCAUUCCGUCAUGGAUGCGUGCCAACCCGAAGAUUUUAGGGGCUAUAAUCUAGAACUUACCCGCGAUUUAUAUUUAUCCAGACCUUCAGCCAAGUAGACUAUGGAAACAAUCUGAAAGGUGUUGACUUCGUGAACGAAAGCUCCUUCCCGAAUAAAACGACACCGACGGUGGCUGAGAAAGAAACCAAAGCUGGAGAAAGAAGAGCGGAGCCAAGGUUGGAUCGAUCAAGCCUUUCAAAGCUCAGUAAAAUAAAAAAAUCUUGAGAGAAGCGUCUGUUCCGCUUUAUCCUUUCACUUUUUUUUCUUCACACACAUAUUAUCGUAAAGAGUGAAAUCUCAUAUGUGCAUUUACAUCCUCGAUCGUUCUUUCGAGUUCUAUUUUUCGAAGAUCACUCGUUUUAUUUCUUUUUCUGGAAAAGGAGUAGUGCUCUUGGGAAGUUCCUAUUAAGUAAGUGUUCUUUGCUUUAUAUCAUAAGUUUAGCUCUUGUACGAAUGGAUCCACCUUUUCUUCUUGCUACUACUAGUUGUUGAACUUUCUUUAUUUCAAUGUAUUUUACUUCCGUUGUGUCACCUGGUCCUGAUGUGAUUCCUCUAGCUGCUUAGGAUACCCUAUUUUCUAAUGUUGCUUCUGUGGCUCCGGUUCCUGGCUCCUACUUUUUUAGGGUGAUGGCUCAUACAACGUGGCAUUGGUAGAGGGAAUCCUUUGAUUGUUCGAUUAGGAAACCCCGCCUAUUGAAGUCCCGCUCAACGAAGUCUCAGAACGUUGAUCUUUCCCGUCAAUGCCAUCUGCCCUCAUAUUUGAAUUAAGCUCAUCUCUACGAGGACCUAAAAGUAGGAAAGAAGCAACGUAUUUCUUUCUGACGAACCACACCAACCACUGUGCUUCGAUCAUCUCUCAGUUCACCGAUUCAUCCAUCCGGGAGGGCAAAGCAUGUCUCUUUGUCCAGGUAUCUCUUUCUUUUGUUAUAAACGUUUAUCUAUGCUCUUUCUCUUUCUAUUAAGUGAAUAUGCCCAGCUCCGAACCAAUCGUUUCUUUAUAAAGAAAUCGUACUAAAUAUGAUAUUCACAAAAAGUACUUUUUCCAUGAAUAACGAAAACUACACUUUCUAUGAGUUGUUGAAAAGCGGAGACACCCAUAUUCGCUUUUUCCCUGUUCCUUCCAACGAAUAAAUGUAAAAAGUAUAGGUUCCUCUCCUGAUGAUCCCAGGUAUCUCCGUUUUGACGUAGCCUAUGCCAAGCGCAUGGAAGGAAGCUAAACAGCUCCAGCAGCUAAAAGGAGUGAAAACGGACAGAAGAGAGUACGAAGGAUAAGUUCAUACCAAAAGGAUUUGCGUUUUGUGAAAGAAGAGCUAACCGAGAAUUGCUCUUGUUGAAGUUGCCCGGCUUUAUUUAUAGAUCUUUGUGAUCUUUCCAUGGGAGAAGCGCUCAUUGAGAUCCUUCCAAACAGCCUCGGCUCUUUCGUUGUGGAUGAUACUCUCACACAGGUACCGGGGGUUACAGUAUGGUGCGAAUCAGUACAAGCCUGGGGUACGGGAAUUCUACGAGGGAUAAAACUCGCAAUUGCAUUGACAUGAUUGAAUUCAGCAGUUUAGUUCUUUUUCAAAAGAUACCGCUCUAGGAGUAAGCAAUGGAGCAUGGCCGUGUGAAGCAGACAGCUCUCUCGAGAGUCGCCUAUGAUUGCUUACACACUCUACAUUACACCAUAAUGGUACUCUCUCCAAACAAGCAACGGAUUGAGCAACUAGCGCGAAAGCCGUUGCGCUAACGCGCAUUCUCCACCACAUCUUGCUGGUUUGAGACAAAGAUUUGACAUAGAUAAUGCUUUCUCGCUACCCGCCCGCAAUGGUUCACUGAUCAAUACUUCACAAAGUCAUCAACAUGUGAUACGACAAAACUAGAAAGAAAAUCGUUUGUGGCUGAUCUCUCCAUCUACUUACUUCUAUUGGACCCAUAGGACCAGCGCUCACAACAAAUCCAAUAAGAUAAGAUCUAAUAAUGAAACCCGGGAACACUAAUUCAAAAACAAAGCGAUAGCAAUGUUUAUAGAAAAAGCAAAACAACACUCAAGAGAAACUCCACCUAGAACGUACCAGUCAGCACUUCGUUAUUGUCGACCGCGCGGAUCAUCAUAAGCAACAAAGUAGCAAAUACGCGUCGGUAUCACAUAAAGAGGAUUUUCGACAGGCUCCACAAGAACAUUCGUUCCUAGGUGCAUGACUGUUGUGUUCGGGGAGCUCCUUCUUGCUAAGAGUGCCAGUGGAUUCUCCUCCUAUUCCUCGACUCUUUAUUAAGGAGACAGACCGGUAAUCUCGCUUCUGAUAAAAGAGCGGCUAUUCCCCUAAGAAAGCAAAGGGGUAUUCUUCCUUCAUAGAUUCCCGAUGCCGAGCUACUCUUGAUAGGCUUUCCAAGACCAAGUUUAUAGAAUGAUCCCUUGCACAUUGAGCAAGACAGUGUAUUCUUUAGGUUGGAGUAAGAUCAAUGGAGCCGAAAGUAAAGCAUCGGUAGUGAGGCUUUCCUCCAUGAGGAAUUAAUCCUUUGGUCGUCAAUGGGAACUUUAAGACGAGAGCCAAUGUGUCCAAACUUCCGGCUGAAUUGUUGCUUUCUAGUGGCCGACCAUCCUUUCCAGACCUUCUCUAGAGCUCUUCAAUCCUUCCUCCUAAGAUCCAGGCUAACUUUUUCAAGCAAUGGAAUGACUGGUAGGCGAUCUCAGGCUCGCUCGUCGUUGGGUAGUUUCCGAUAGUUCUAUCACCAUUCCAGGCUCUUCGCAUAUAGAGAACUCGAAGGUGGUCGAUGUAAUAGAGCAGGCCUGAGGCCAUUACGUACUUUCUUUGUUUAAGUUAUUAUUGAGAGUUCAAUGAUAGCUAUACACAAUGAGCGCUGUUUUCUACAUGCGAGAUGAAAUGCCAUUCAAGAGCGGAUAAGGCUAAAAAGAGAAAAAGCAGGGCUUGGCUUAUUCUAUUCAUCUGCACCACCUGACAGAGAUUCUUUCACAGCCUCGUUCAGCUAGUAGAAUUCUUUCUAGAUCUCGUUCUUUUCACUUUCUGGGCUGAGACCGUCCAAUUUCAUUCUUGCCUGGGAAGAGAGGAUCGGAACUCACACUCGAUCCCUACUCUUUCCUCGUACUUCACAGGUUUUCGAGGCCGAGGGUGAACUGGACUCGCAUUCACUUGCUGGGAAA